UACGGGGGGGGCAAGCGUUGUUCGGAAUUACUGGGCGUAAAGGGCUCGUAGGCGGCCAACUAAGUCGGAUGUGAAAUCCCCAGGCUUAACCUGGGAACUGCAUCCGAUACUGGAUGGCUUGAAUCCGGGAGAGGGAUGCAGAAUUCCAGGUGUAGCGGUGAAAUGCGUAGAUAUCUGGAGGAACACCGGUGGCGAAGGCGGCAUCCUGGACCGGCAUUGACGCUGAAUAGCGAAAGCCAGGGGAGCAAACGGG
rnacentral:rRNA from 1 species